rnacentral:rRNA from 1 species
UGGGCAAGAAGACCCUAUGAAUUUUAUAAAAUUAAUAAUUUAAUCUAAAUUGUUGAUUUUUUUAAUUGGGGCGAUUAAUUAAAACUACGAACUUUUUAAAAAAUUAAAAAGAACCAUUAAUAAUGGUCGUUUGAAAAAAAUACUCUAGGGAUAACAGCGUAAUAAUUUUUGAUAGUUCAUAUUGACAAAAUAGUUUGCGACCUCGAUGUUGGAUUAGGAUAUUUUUUUAAUGAAGAAGUUAAAAUAAAAAGUUUGUUCAACUUUUAAAUUCCUACUUGAUCUGAGUUCAGACCGG